rnacentral:rRNA from 1 species
ACUCAAAUGAAUAGACGGGGGCUCACACAAGCGGUGGAGCAUGUGGUUCAAUUCGAAGCAACGCGCAGAACCUUACCUGGGCUUGACAUGCCUGGAUUAUCCCCAUGAAAGUGGGGUAGGCCCUUCGGGGUACAACAGGCACAGGUGCUGCAUGGCUGUCGUCAGCUCGUGUCGUGAGAUGUCGGGUUAAGUCCCAUAACGAGCGAAACCUUUGCCCUUAGUUACCAGCGGGUUAAGCCGGGGACUCUAAGGGGACUGCCGGUGUCAAACCGGAGGAAGGUGGAGAUGACGUCAAGUCCUCAUGGCCUUUAUGCCCAGGGCCACACACGUGCUACAAUGCCGCCGACAAAGCGAACCUAAAGCGCAAGCUGGUGGGAAUCGCAGAAAUGGCGGCCCAGUUCAGAUCGGAGGCUGCAACUCGCCUCCGUGAAGUUGGAAUCGCUAGUAAUCGCGGAUCAGCCACGCCGCGGUGAAUGUGUUCCUGAGCCUUGCACACACCGCCCGU